AUGUUCAAUGGAUCUAAUCUUUCUACCUCUACACAGCAACAGGAUGCCUGCAAGCCAAAGCAAGAAAGCGCCAUAGAAGAAACAGCUAAGCUAUGUGCCCAUGCAUCGAAGAAAGAACAAAAGGAAAUUCCAUUAUGUGAACCAUUGCCACGGACGAAGCGACCUGGGAUUUGUUCUCUCCCAGUAGCAGAGGUGUGGAAUGAUAAAUUACAUUGCACCAAUGAUGUAGUUAAUCCAAUCCCUGCUUCCAGUUCUGUAUGGGAUCUCAGACAUGCCAACGGGACAACUAAUCAAGCAAAGGAUUCUAAUAACUCUGCUCAUGCCGCAAUAAAUUCUCAUGAAGGGCCAGAAGAUACUAGCAGACGUAAUCAAUGUAAGAACAGAUUUAGUCCUCAGCUCACCUUCCGGAGGCGUGUUAAAAGGAAAAUUAAUUUGGACAAGCCAGCAGAGAGAAACUAUACGAACGAUAACGGCAAAGAAUACUCAACACUGGCAUGUAACCCACAGAGUUUACCAAUUAAUGCCACACCCUUGCUCAAAGUAACCGAUGCCGAUAUUUUGGAUACUGCAGAUAAGGUAUGUUUUGUGACUCGUCGUACGACACUCUUCUACUGGGUAGCUAAAGAAGGAACAAGUACUGGACUAUCCGUAUCAGCUCAACGCUUUCUUGACGAAAAAAGUUCACACAUGCGAAAAUCAACAGUGCAGCAUACGGUUUCCACACGGCAUAUUGAAGAUGCAAGAGCGGAGGACUGGAGCAAAACUCUAGGUCGUGUUGUUGAAGCAGCAGAAGCUGUUGAAAUGAAGAAAUUACAUGAUGAUCCUCCAGAGUCCCAAGGUUCAACAAAACAUAUUCCAAUCAUUGUCUUGGACUAUGUUAAUGAUGAGAGGGCCAGGGGUAAGCUGCCGGAAAAUUCAAAGGUGGUUCAGGAGGAAAACAAAAGCAGAUUUAAUUUAGGGAAGAUCAACCUGAAUCCUGUCGAAUUACCUCAAGAGAGGCUUCUCGGCCUGGAUGACUCAUCUUUUCAAAGGCUGCCAGAUCAGGAUCAUUUUGUUACUGGACAAAAACAAGUUUCUCAACCAAUUGAAAGGCUAUUUUUUACGAAGGAGAAAGAUGUUGUACAUGGUAAAGAACAACAUCAAGAGGGAACACCAGCAUUGCAUACCUUAAACUCAAAUUUGUAUGGUCCGACUCCGUCAAGGAAAUCUGGGAGUUCGAAGGAACCAAAGAGCAUGCCUUCAGAACUGAAAUUCAGAAUAAUGGAUAAUGCUCCUGAGUCCAGUUUGGAACGCCGCUUGGAUAGUUUCCAAUACAGUGGCAAGUCCAGUGGCAUUGAUUUGCUGACAGAAAGGAUCAGCACAUACUCCUACAAAAGACACCAGGUUCCCUGGUCAGAAGAAGAGUUGGAUUUUCUGUGGAUUGGAGUGAGGAGGUAUGGAACGAGUAAUUGGAAUGCAAUGCUGAGGGAUACACGGCUACGGUUCUCAAGCUCAAGAAUGUCUGAGGAUCUUUCUGAACAAUGGGGCAAGGAGCAAAAGAAACUUCUACUUCUGGAUCUUCAAUCAAUAAGAACAUCUGCUCUAGGUUCUGAACGAACUCACCAUAUAGCUGAAGGUUAUGCUGGAAGCUCAAAGUCCCCAUUCCUUGCAGCCCAAUCAGACCUUCCGUUGGGCGAGGUGCACCUUCAGAAUGCUCAUGCUUUGGAUAGAGGCCAGCAUUAUUUAUCAAGCCUUGGCAGGUUUAACCUUCAUGAACUCAACAAUGUGCCGAGAAAUUUGUCUCUGGGAGGCUUCCCUGGAGUUUCUUCCUCGCAGGGGAGAACUGGGAGCAGGCGUAGGAAGACAACCAAGCUUCAAAAGUCAAACGGGUGCCAAGAACUACCAGAGAGGACGUCGUCUCAGCUUCUUCCCAUCAACCAACAACCAAUCAACAGCCUUCCUAAGUGGCUUACCAAGGGCGUCGACACCGGUAAAAGCUGGCUCAACCCGGCGAUGCGGUCGAGUGCCUCGCAGGCGUCAGGCCAGUCCACUGCAGAUCCACUGAAAGACGACACCGACGCAUCGUCUGAAGAGACGGUCGUCGUGUCAGAUCUUUGCUAG
rnacentral:rRNA from 1 species